rnacentral:sRNA from 1 species
UUGAAAUGAUCGCUCUGCCAGGACUUAGUCUUUAUA